GCGGCGGUGAGCGGCGGGCUAGAAGGCGGCUGCGGCUGCCCUGGCUCUGCUCUUGACCGCCGCCAGCCCCGGGAACUUUCCGACGCCGCCGGGAGACGGGGGACGGGCAGCCCGGGCUGGGACGCGGCCGGACCGCUGGAGCCGUGCGGGCUGGGGAAGAAGGUUUAUGGGAUGCAGGAUAAUGGAGCAUGCUCUAUCUGGGACAUUGCUAGUCUUAUGACAGAGGGAGAAGACAGCGAUGGACAGUGCUCCUUCUAACGCACCACAGCUGCUCCUGAAUCAAAAGAGGACGCACUUCCAUUGGGUUGGAAUGUUCCGCAUGCAGGUGUAUGAGGAAGAGUUAUUUGAACUGGUUCUUGACUGAAUUAUAGGGUUUGGCUAGGUGGUGGAAGAAGACAAGUUUAUACCUGGACUGGAGGGAUUAGCAUGACUGAAGCCACAGGUUGGAAAAUGCAAGGUGUAUUUGGACGACUGUGUGUAGACUGUUUUGGCUGGAGAAGAGGGCUCAUUCCUGUUACAAAAUGGCACCCAGCCAAAGAGAGGAGAACAAUGAAGAUUGCUUCUGCCAUUGUUGCGAUUUGGGAUUUUCAGGCACCUCUGUUAAAUGAGGACAAACAGUGCUGACCUUCUCUUGCAGGCAGGCUGGGAUUCUGAAUCAUCAGUGACUGGGAAGUGGUGUGCUCCAUUAUCUGAGGCAUGAUAUUAUAUCCACCAGCUAUUUCGUUCAUGCAGUUGGAUUUCUGCUCCAUUGAAAUGAUUCUCUCAGUGUGAGCUCAAUAACAAGGGGCAUGAUGGUAGUUUUUCUGUGUUGCCAGAAACUAGGUCUGAAUUUCUUCCAGCGCCUCCUGCUCUAAAGCACCUCUUAUGAUUAAUUAACCUUUUGUGGAGUAACUAGGACAUCUGUGUGGGAUGAGAUGUACUUUGGUCAGACUUCAGUUUUUAGUUGUUCAGCAAGAGGAUAAUUAAUUAUAAGAGCUGAAUCUGAACAGAAGAUUGUUGGAGGAAGUCCAAAUGAAGCAAAACAUCUAAUUAUCAAUGAACAGGAAGUUUUUUUUUAGUUGUCGUUAUUGUGGGAGUGAAUAAAAUACUUAAUGCAAUAUAAAUAAGAGGUAGUAACAACUUAAGAUGCCUG
rnacentral:lncRNA from 1 species